UGUAACCGGGUGAUUAGAUUAUGUUGUCCUGCUGUGUUGCGUCUGUGAGUGCGUCCACCUGCGCGUCGCUGCGCGUGGCUCCUGGCGUCACUGAUUGCGCGAUUAGAAAAGGCUGCGCACGCUGUGGUGAGGCAGUCGGGGCUUUCGGUGGCUUUUGGAGGCAGCGCGUGUUGUCUGGAGUAGGCGGUGGUGCCGGCGGCCGCUCGUAGCGCUCCGAGCCCCAUGUAGAGCGCCCCCCUCCCUCUUCUAAAUUUGCGCUGCCCUCCACAGGAAGUAUGUCCUCUGCUGGGUCUUCUUGAUGAAGAGGUGAUGAGGGAUUCAGUCAUGGUGAUGGGGGCAGGGGGGCCAUGUCCACCAUCAUCUCCACUAGAGAUUCUUGUGCAGAAACACAAGCUGAUCAACAUGCCCUGCUUUUAAGACACUUUUUGGGGAUGUUACAGAGUCCCCUGCAGAAGAGAAAACCCUUUCUGAAGGGACACGUAUACCUGGGAUACAAAGGAAAUGCCUUGCAACCCCUGCUGCAUGAGGAUACUCAUCUUCCACCAGUGGAGUUGAUCCCCACAUCCUUGAAUCAGUUUAUCUCUGCUUUGGCUGCAUCAUGUGCAGAUUUUUGUGUGACAUUCUCUCUUGCAGAGGGAAAUGUUCCCAGAAGCUCAAGACAGAUGUUGCCCAGUCACGUGCUCUGUGCCCAAAUGUGGUUUUUGCCGCCAUGAACCAGACAGAAGGAGGACCAGGCACAUGGGGACCAUGGGGACUUCACACCCAUGUCCAGAAGUGCUGGCCCAGUGAGGAGAGGCGACACUUGGUGCAAGAGUACCACCAUUUUCAUGCACUCUUCACAUGCUCCCAAAUAUGUUGAUAAAGGUAGCCAGGCCGUUACUUCUCCCAAAAGAGCAAAACCUCUUGAGCUCCAGUGCACGCCUUUUGCCCAUCUGCUACUAGCACCGGUAGCACUCAGGCUAUUCCCGCUGUGGGCUCAAGCCGCUCUCCUACUCUCACUCCACACAGGCGGAUCAGGCUAGAGGGCAUUAGCUCCAGCCGGGGCCACAGCGGAAGGCCAAAAAACUUAGCGGUCAGUUGGAGGGAGCACAAUAGUGGUUUGUAAGAGUCCAGAGUUCCCCAACCCACCUACCACAGCACAUACAGCAGGUAUAACAGGCACAAGCCCUGGACUGAGUGUCACCCAGAUGAGCCAGGCCCCCACCCCUCUGCUAAGCUCUCAUGUGAUGCACCACUGCGAGGGCGACGCCCCAGUGGUUCUGCACAGACACCGCAGUUCUCACACCGCCACCAUAAGCAACACUGUCGGUUUGGGGAACAUAACUGGACAUAAAUGGGUGUUUCUUGCCUAUACGGGGAACACCUCCUACAGGAAACACCUCCCGCCUCCCGUUUGAACUGUCACCAUCCUGUCUAACUUAUAUGUCAAAGAAAGCUAACAGUGACAUUAGCACUGAACCCAUAGACAUAUAGUAAAAGCAAGAACUUCAAAUUUAAACGCUAAGCUGUCACUGAAUGUCAUGUAGUAAAAGCAGGAACUUCAAAAAAAAAUAAAAAAUAAAAAUACUUAUGAAGAUAACCUCCUAACACGUGUUGCCACUUUGUUUCGACCAUAGACAGUUUAGACUUUUAUUGAGAAGAAGUGAAAAAGCUGACUGGUUGAUUACAGGAACACCCAUCAGGGGCCAUUCUGUUGCACGUCUGGAACGCCCAUGCUGCAAAACCGACCCUCCUCGCCAGAAGUGUCAAUGUGGACUGGUUCUUUCUUGGAGGACUUCUGGCCUCUCGACCCACUGCAGGACUCCUAGAGAACAGGUGGGCCCAUUCUACCCCUCAGUCAUGGGUGCACCUGGUUGGUCCACUUUAGAGAUCUGCGCAGGACAGUUUUAAGUCCUGCUCCCGCCCGCUCCCGCACUGUGCAGUCCCACUCCGUCGUAUGGGAGGGGGGACGGUCUGCUGCUUAAACUGUUUUUAUUAAUGCCAAAUAAAAUAUCCAGCACAAAUUAUGCAUGAUAGGCUUACAUUCAUCAUUUGUAUAUUUUACUUUACACUCAUAUUUAGUUUUCAGGACUGUAAAUGUGUCCCGCGCCGCACUGUGGCCCACUUGCACCCUGGUUGACGAGGAUGCUGAGGAUGCGUUCCAAUCAUCGCCCAUCGCCCUCCUCCUUUCAGCAGCAUUCUCUGCACCCAACCAGCAAGUGAUGUGGAUGCUG